rnacentral:rRNA from 1 species
AUUGAACGCUGGCGGCAGGCUUAACACAUGCAAGUCGAGCGGAGAUGAGGUGCUUGCACCUUAUCUUAGCGGCGGGCGGGUGAGUAAUGCUUAGGAAUCUGCCUAUUAGUGGGGGACAACAUUCCGAAAGGAAUGCUAAUACCGCAUACGUCCUACGGGAGAAAGCAGGGGAUCUUCGGACCUUGCGCUAAUAGAUGAGCCUAAGUCGGAUUAGCUAGUUGGUGGGGUAAAGGCCUACCAAGGCGACGAUCUGUAGCGGGGCUGAGAGGAUGAUCCGCCACACUGGGACUGAGACACGGCCCAGACUCCUACGGGGGGCAGCAGUGGGGAAUAUUGGACAAUGGGGGGAACCCUGAUCCAGCCAUGCCGCGUGUGUGAAGAAGGCCUUAUGGUUGUAAAGCACUUUAAGCGAGGAGGAGGCUACUGAGACUAAUACUCUUGGAUAGUGGACGUUACUCGCAGAAUAAGCACCGGCUAACUCUGUGCCAGCAGCCGCGGUAACAC